AUUGAACGCUGGCGGCAGGCCUAACACAUGCAAGUCGAGCGGAUGAAGGGAGCUUGCUCCUGGAUUCAGCGGCGGACGGGUGAGUAAUGCCUAGGAAUCUGCCUGGUAGUGGGGGAUAACGUCCGGAAACGGGCGCUAAUACCGCAUACGUCCUGAGGGAGAAAGUGGGGGAUCUUCGGACCUCACGCUAUCAGAUGAGCCUAGGUCGGAUUAGCUAGUUGGUGGGGUAAAGGCCUACCAAGGCGACGAUCCGUAACUGGUCUGAGAGGAUGAUCAGUCGCACUGGAACUGAGACACGGUCCAGACUCCUACGGGAGGCAGCGGGGGAAUAUUGGACAAUGGGCGAAAGCCUGAUCCAGCCAUGCCGCGUGUGUGAAGAAGGUCUUCGGAUUGUAAAGCACUUUAAGUUGGGAGGAAGGGCAGUAAGUUAAUACCUUGCUGUUUUGACGUUACCAACAGAAUAAGCACCGGCUAACUUCGUG
rnacentral:rRNA from 1 species